GAUGAACGCUGGCGGCGUGCUUAAUACAUGCAAGUCGAACGAACAGACUAGUGCUUUGCUCCUCACUCGUUUGCGGCGCACGUGUGAGUAACACGUGGAUACUCUCCCUCUCAUCCUGGGAUAACUUCGGGAAUCCGGAUCUAAUACCGUAUAAUAUAUUUAACCGCAUGGUUCAAUAGUGUUAGACGGUUUUGGUGUCACUUAUAGACUGAUCCGCUCCGCAUUAGCUAGUUGGUAAGGUAACGGCUUACCAGGGCAACGAUGCGUAGACGAACUGAGAGGGUGAUCGGCCACCUUAGAAGUGAGACACGGACAAGGCGACUACGGGAGGCAGCAGUAGGGAAUGUUACGCAAUGGGCGAAAGCCUGACGGAGCGACGCCGCGUGAGUGACAAAGGUCUUCGGUGCGGAAAGACGUGUUUUGGGGUAUAAACAAAUGUGUAAGGAAAUAAGGAGGUAGUGACGGUACCUAAACAGAAAGCAACGGCUAACUACGUG
rnacentral:rRNA from 1 species